rnacentral:rRNA from 1 species
AAGCGAGGCGGUGACGUGGAGCAAACCUCAGAAAGCCAAUCUCAGUUCGGAUUGUAGGCUGCAACUCGCCUACAUGAAGUUGGAAUCGCUAGUAAUCGCGAAUCAGAAUGUCGCGGUGAAUACGUUCCCGGGUCUUGUACACACCGCCCGUCACACCACGAGAGUUUACAACACCCGAAGUCAGUGGCCUAACCGCAAGGAGGGAGCUGCCUAAGGUGGGGUAGAUGAUUGGGGUGAAGUCGUAACAAGGUAAC